CGCUGCUCGGGGAGGUCCCCCGCCGCCCGGCCUCCCGGGGUGUCCCGGGCUCGCGCAGGACGCAGAAGGGCAGUGGAGCCAGGAGCUUGGGACCCAAAGAGAGCCCCAGAUGGGGCAGGGUGUCUUGGGAGGAGGGAGUUCUGGCCUGCGCUUGGAGCUGGGGCUGGCUGUGGGCCCUGCAUUGAGGCACAUCUCUCCGAGGGUGCACAGGCAGACCCUUCAGAGACUUCCUGUUGCUCUGAGGACACUCAUCCCAGCCGACCAGGCCCACCAGGCCCCCAACAGCACUACCUGGCUGGGGUCACGUGCAGGU
rnacentral:lncRNA from 1 species